AGAACGAACGCUGGCGGCAUGCCUAAUACAUGCAAGUCGAACGAACUCUUCGGAGUUAGUGGCGCACGGGUGCGUAACGCGUGGGAAUCUGCCCCUUGGUUCGGAAUAACAGUUGGAAACGACUGCUAAUACCGGAUGAUGACGAAAGUCCAAAGAUUUAUCGCCAAGGGAUGAGCCCGCGUAGGAUUAGCUAGUUGGUGAGGUAAAGGCUCACCAAGGCAACGAUCCUUAGCUGGUCUGAGAGGAUGAUCAGCCACACUGGGACUGAGACGACGGCCCACGACCCCACGGGAGGCAGCAGUAGGGAAUAGUUGGACAAUAGGGACGAAAGCCUAGAUCCAGACAAUGCCGCGUAGAGUGAUAGGAAGGUCCGUUAGGGUUAGUAAAAGUCCUUACCUUUUUAACCCGG
rnacentral:rRNA from 1 species